rnacentral:rRNA from 1 species
CCUACGGGGGGCUGCAGUGGGGAAUAUUGCACAAUGGGCGCAAGCCUGAUGCAGCCAUGCCGCGUGUGUGAAGAAGGCCUUCGGGUUGUAAAGCACUUUCAGCGGGGAGGAAGGCGGUGAGGUUAAUAACCUCAUCGAUUGACGUUACCCGCAGAAGAAGCACCGGCUAACUCCGUGCCAGCAGCCGCGGUAAUACGGAGGGUGCAAGCGUUAAUCGGAAUUACUGGGCGUAAAGCGCACGCAGGCGGUCUGUCAAGUCGGAUGUGAAAUCCCCGGGCUCAACCUGGGAACUGCAUUCGAAACUGGCAGGUUAGAGUCUUGUAGAGGGGGGUAGAAUUCCAGGUGUAGCGGUGAAAUGCGUAGAGAUCUGGAGGAAUACCGGUGGCGAAGGCGGCCCCCUGGACAAAGACUGACGCUCAGGUGCGAAAGCGUGGGGAGCAAACAGGAUUAGAUACCCGGGUAGUC